AGGAUUACAGCCAGCAGUCUCAAGAUUUAUUUGCUGCAGAAGGUGGGGAAGGGUCAGGUGCUGGAGAGACUGUUGACUUGCCCAUGAUUAUGAAAGAAAUUAGAGAGCUACGUGCACUUGUGGAAGAGAUGAAAGACCAAAAUCAGAGAAGUAGAGGGAAGAGGGCCUUCCAUUUUGAAGCAGCAGCCUGUAAGCUGAGGUAUCAAAUCUUCCUAAAGGUAAAGUGCAGCUUGAGACCUUGGCUAGAGGAGGGGGGUGCAAAUUUAAAGGUAUGAUUUUUAUGCGACUGGCCUCUAGUAAUUGACUUGUGUAUAUGUGUGUUAAACACUGUACAGGUCACAGUCUACCUUAAAUACACUCUAGAUAUUGUAAUUUUGGUCCAGUCUUGACUAAAAUUGCUCAUAAUGUUUGUCUCAAUGAUGUUUAGGCCGGCUAGAUUAGAGCUGCGACAUAUGACCUCAAAAACUAGGUCACUACGUCUGAUUAUUGAAAAAAGUUUGUAUACAAUCUUGAGAUCA